GACGAACGCUGGCGGCGUGCUUAACACAUGCAAGUCGAACGCGCCUGUCCUCUGGGUUUCUGGGGGGUGGGUGAGUGGCGAACGGGUGAGUAACACGUGAGUAACCUGCCCCCUUCUUCGGGAUAACGGUCUGAAAGGGCUGCUAAUACCGGGUAUUCACUGGUCUCCGCAUGGGGUCUGGUGGAAAGGUUUUUUUCUGGUGGGGGAUGGGCUCGCGGCCUAUCAGCUUGUUGGUGGGGUGAUGGCCCACCAAGGCUUUGACGGGUAGCCGGCCUGAGAGGGUGACCGGUCACAUUGGGACUGAGAUACGGCCCAGACUCCUACGGGGGGCAGCAGUGGGGAAUAUUGCACAAUGGGCGCAAGCCUGAUGCAGCGACGCCGCGUGAGGGAUGGAGGCCUUCGGGUUGUGAACCUCUUUCGCCCGUGGUCAAGCCGCGACGUGGGUCGUGGUGAGGGUAGUGGGUAAAGAAGCGCCGGCUAACUACGUG
rnacentral:rRNA from 1 species